UCCACCUCCCUCCCUUCCUCUCUCCCUCCCUCAUCAUUAUCCUCAUCACUAAAUCCUACAGAGUUCAGGGCGGAAAGCGGUGCACAC
rfam:Myotis brandtii contig182323, whole genome shotgun sequence.